UACGUAGGGUGCAAGCGUUAAUCGGAAUUACUGGGCGUAAAGCGUGCGCAGGCGGUGAUGUAAGACAGGUGUGAAAUCCCCGGGCUUAACCUGGGAACUGCAUUUGUGACUGCAUCGCUGGAGUGCGGCAGAGGGGGAUGGAAUUCCGCGUGUAGCAGUGAAAUGCGUAGAUAUCGAGAGGAACACCGGUGGCGAAGGCGGCGACCUGGGCAGAUACUGACACUGAGGUGCGAAAGCGUGGGGAGCAAACAGG
rnacentral:rRNA from 1 species